rnacentral:misc_RNA from 1 species
GCGAGCCAUGCCCGCCAGCUCUUGGACAGCCGCAAUUUUACUGCAAGCUGUAGAAAAAUAGGGGCGAGUAUAGCCCUGAGUUAUGCGUAUCCCACGUUGCAAUUCGUGCGUUUGUGCAAUCGCGUUCCUUUCCAGGUUAUCUUUUAAAUUUUCCUUGAUGUUUCUCUUUUUAAGGACGUUCAUCCACCGCAACAGCGUGCUUCGAAUUCUGAUCAACGACAGAGAUAUGUACCUACAUCGACGCAUGUACCAAGAAGAUUGUUUUCGUAAAAUUACGAAUUACAGGAAGUUUAGUCAAAGAUCUGUUUUUCCUAAGGUGAUUCGACAAUUUG